CGCAACAUCGAAAACGAGCUGGAA
rnacentral:miRNA from 1 species